UCAAGCCUGCGAGUGGAAGAGCAAAUCAGAAAUAUCUUUCAUUCAUGUACACACCCUAAAAAUUAAAUUUGUUGGGAAACAGAAACUGGGUAUAAACGCAGUCGAUUAAACACAAAUUUCAGCGCCAAAUACUCACAUUGAAGGGAGCUUCAACUUCAUGAAAGCUAGUUCUUUUCUUUCUCGUCAAUUUUCACAAUUACAAGUCUUGCUUUCAUCGCUCCAAAAAUCUUUACUGUUACCAGUAAAUCUAAGUCUUGAAGAACUUAUUGGCAAAGCAUUAGACCAAUAUCCUGCAGUCAAAACCUUAAAGAAUGUCCACUCUAUCAUAUUUCGUUGCCAUCUUCAUCUGGACCCCUCUCUCGGAAUCAAACUGAUGAGGGCUUAUGCUGCUAGAGGGGAAGUUCACCCGACACGCAAGCUGUUCGACGAAAUUCCUGCAAAGAAUGUUGUUUUCUAUAAUGUCAUGAUAAGGAGCUAUGUGAACAACCACUUGUACAAUGAUGCACUGGAAGUUUUCAAGACCAUGAUUAAUGGUGGCUUAGGUCCGGAUAACUAUACAUACCCUUGUGUCCUAAAGGCCUGCUAUUGCUCUGAAAAUCUAAGAUUUGGGCUGCAACUUCAUGGGGCUGUGUUAAAGAUUCGACUUGAUUCGAAUUUGUUUAUUGGAAAUGGUUUAAUUGCCAUGUAUGGGAAAUGUUGUCAUUUAUUCGAGGCACGACGAGUAUUGGAUGAGUUGCAAGGCAAAGAUGUUGUUUCCUGGAAUGCAAUGGUUGUCGGGUAUGCACAAAAUGGACAAUUUGAUGACGCACUUGAGAUUUGCCGGGAAAUGAAGGUGUCAGGACAAUGGCCUGAUGCUGGUACGAUGGCUAGCCUCAUGCCAGCUAUAAAUAACACAUCAUCUGAAAAUGUUUCAUUUGUUAAGGAUAUGUUCAUGAAUUUAGAGAAGAAGACUUUGGUCUCAUGGAAUGUGAUGAUAGCUGUGUUUGUAAAAAAUUCAAUGCCCAACGAAGCUGUCAAGUUAUAUUUACAAAUGGAAAAAAAUAGGGUGGAGCCUGAUGCGAUCACCUUGGCUUGUGUUACGUUAGCCUGUGGGGAUCUUUCGGCUCUGUCGCUUGGGAAAAUAAUUCAUGAAUAUGUUGAGAGGAAGAAACUAUGCCCCAAUGUGAUAUUGGAGAAUGCAUUGAUAGACAUGUAUGCUAGGUGUGGAUGUCUAGAAGAUGCAAGGGAAGUGUUUGACAGAAUGAAGUUCCGUGACAUUGCAUCAUGGACAUCAUUGAUAUCUGCUUAUGCUAUGACUGGGCAAGGUCGCAAUGCUAUCUUGCUCUUCAAAGAAAUGCAAGAUUCGGGUUUAAGUCCUGAUUCCAUUUCUUUUGUUGCUCUUCUCUCUGCUUGUAGCCAUUCGGGUUUACUGGAUGAAGGGAAGUUCUACUUUAAACAAAUGACGGUUGAUUAUAAAAUAGCCCCAAGGAUUGAACAUUUUGCAUGCAUGGUGGAUGUCUUGGGACGUGCUGGGCAGGUUGAUGAGGCCUAUAAUUUCAUCAUACAGAUGCCUUUGGAACCUAAUGAGAGAGUUUGGGGUGCUCUGCUUAGUGCUUGUCGCGUGUACUCCAACAUGGAUAUUGGGCUUUUAGCAGCUGAUAGACUUUUUCAGUUGGCCCCUGAGCAGUCAGGUUACUACGUGCUGUUAUCUAAUAUAUAUGCAAAGGCUGGUAGAUGGAAAGAAGUAACUGCUAUUCGAUCAUUAAUGAAGAGAAGAAAACUUAGGAAAACACCUGGAAUCAGCAAUGUUGAGCUGAAUAAUCAGAUUUACACCUUUCUCGCUGGUGAUAGAUCUCACCCACAGUCAAAGGAGAUAUAUGAAGAACUAGAGGUAUUGGUGGGAAAGAUGAAAGAAUUAGGUUAUGUCCCUGAGACUGAUUCUGCUCUUCAUGAUGUGGAGGAAGAGGACAAGGAAUACCAUCUAGCUGUGCACAGUGAAAAGUUAGCUAUUGUGUUCGCUAUUUUGAAUACACAACCUGGUUUUCCAAUCAGAAUUACAAAGAACCUUCGGGUCUGUGGAGAUUGCCAUAUUGCUGCCAAGCUUAUCUCCAAGAUAGUUGAGCGUGAAAUUAUUGUUAGGGACACUCAUCGAUUCCACCAAUUCAAAGAUGGGAUGUGCUCUUGUGGAGACUAUUGGUGAGAGCCAACCUGAUCAGUCUCUAAUUGAGACUUUAACAUUAUUAUUGACGGACUAUUUAAGGCUUUAUGGGGUCAAAUUUUGGAUCGAAUAUUAUCUGAAGCUAAUUGCCGUGAACUGCAAAUCGGCAACUCUGGUGAUCCUGUACAUUGCUCAGCACACAAAAACAGAUCCUGUAUAUGUAAUACGAUGGCCUGAGAAGAUUGAGUAUCUUGUUGAAGGAGUUUCUGAUACCGGUAUUGGAAGCUGCUUGAAAGAAUUUCAAGACUGGAAGUUUUGUUGGGGAGGUAUUACUGAGAAUUGGGAUGGAAUGCUUCGUGUUGACGCCACCAGUUUAUUCUUAAAUAUCUAGGUUGCAUGAGCACAAGAUACAUGGGCACCUAAAAUUUCCAUGAGCUUAGUCUUUCAAAUAGCCGUAAAAUUGAAAUGAUUGAAGGAGGUUCAUAUGCGUGUACAAGAUUUUAUCAGACUUUUGAAUACAUUCCAGCAUUUGUAGUAAUAACGCAUUAGUUAGUCGUAAAAUAUUCUGGAUGUUUAGCCAAAUCGCAAUAAUG